ACGCUCGACACCUACUGGAGGCAGCAGUCGGGAAUAUUGCGCAACGGAGGGAACUCUGACGCAGUGACGCCGCGUAUAGGAAGAAGGUUUUCGGAUUGUAAACUAUUUUAGACAGGGAAGAAUAAAGACAGUACCUGUAGAAUAAGCUCCGGCUAACUACGUGUCAGCAGCCGCGGUAAUCUGAGCGGGCUGGCAAGGC
rnacentral:rRNA from 1 species